GGGUGUGAGGGCAAUCGGGCUUCGACAUCUGUCACCUCAUUUAUCACCAGGGUUGAUUGAACUGAUCUGGCUGGUUAGGCGGAGUCCCCUUCCCCCUCACUGCUCCAUGUGUGUCCCUCUCGAAGCUGCGUGCAUGGCCAAACAGGAUGACCAUCCCUGAUAGAAGCGGGGCUGGUCUUUGGUCAAGGGUAUUAUGAGUAGCUGCAUUCCCCUGCUAGAACCUCCAAACAAGCAAAUAUUGUUAUUUUUAAUGGGGGCCCAGUAGAAUUUAUUGUUUUCUCCAUCACUCAGCUCCAAUGACUAGAAAAAUAACCUCUGUACUUACAUU
rnacentral:snRNA from 1 species